CAAGAGUAAUCAAACCGACUUCAUUAAAAAUCCCAAUUCGCCAUUACAAUAUCGACUUCAACAACGAUUACCUCAGUCUUCCCAAAACCCUAUGAAGAAAAAAAAAAAAUCCAAUUCUCUGUCUUUUCUUCCUCGACCCAAAGCAAGAAGCUCGCUCUCCGAUCCUUCUAAAAACUCUCCAAAAAAAACUUAUUCUCUCCCCUCUCAUUUCUUAACCUUAAUUCUGAAUUUCUUCAAUCUUCCGUCUUGGAUCCGAAAUUGGCUCCCACCGUUAGAGCUUGGAUCCAAAAUUGGCUCUCGCCG
rnacentral:lncRNA from 1 species